rnacentral:rRNA from 1 species
GUUACCAGCACGUUAUGGUGGGCGACUCUAAGGAGACUGCCGGUGACAAACCGGAGGAAGGUGGGGAUGACGUCAAGUCAUCAUGGCCCUUACGGCCUGAGCUACACACGUGCUACAAUGGUCGGUACAAAGGGUUGCCAAGCCGCGAGGUGGAGCUAAUCCCAUAAAACCGAUCGUAGUCCGGAUCGCAGUCUGCAACUCGACUGCGUGAAGUCGGAAUCGCUAGUAAUCGUGAAUCAGAAUGUCACGGUGAAUACGUUCCCGGGCCUU